rnacentral:rRNA from 1 species
UACAGAGGUGGCAAGCGUUGUUCGGAAUUACUGGGCGUAAAGGGCGCGUAGGCGGCCUUCUAAGUCAGACGUGAAAUCCCUCGGCUUAACCGGGGAACUGCGUCUGAUACUGGAUGGCUUGAGGUUGGGAGAGGGAUGCGGAAUUCCAGGUGUAGCGGUGAAAUGCGUAGAUAUCUGGAGGAACACCGGUGGCGAAGGCGGCAUCCUGGACCAAUUCUGACGCUGAGGAGCGAAAGCCAGGGGAGCAAACGGG